rnacentral:rRNA from 1 species
GACGAACGCUGGCGGCGUGCUUAACACAUGCAAGUCGAACGGAAAGGCCCUGCUUUUGUGGGGUGCUCGAGUGGCAAACGGGUGAGUAACACGUGAGUAACCUGCCCUUGACUUUGGGAUAACUUCAGGAAACUGGGGCUAAUACCGGAUAGGAGCUCCUGCUGCAUGGUGGGGGUUGGAAAGUUUCGGCGGUUGGGGAUGGACUCGCGGCUUAUCAGCUUGUUGGUGGGGUAGUGGCUUACCAAGGCUUUGACGGGUAGCCGGCCUGAGAGGGUGACCGGCCACAUUGGGACUGAGAUACGGCCCAGACUCCUACGGGAGGCAGCAGUGGGGAAUAUUGCACAAUGGGCGGAAGCCUGAUGCAGCAACGCCGCGUGCGGGAUGACGGCCUUCGGGUUGUAAACCGCUUUCGCCUGUGACGAAGCGUGAGUGACGGUAAUGGGUAAAGAAGCACCGGCUAACUACGUGCCAGCAGCCGCGGUGAUACGUAGGGUGCGAGCGUUGUCCGGAUUUAUUGGGCGUAAAGGGCUCGUAGGUGGUUGAUCGCGUCGGAAGUGUAAUCUUGGGGCUUAACCCUGAGCGUGCUUUCGAUACGGGUUGACUUGAGGAAGGUGGGGGAGAAUGGAAUUCCUGGUGGAGCGGUGGAAUGCGCAGAUAUCAGGAGGAACACCAGUGGCGAAGGCGGUUCUCUGGGCCUUUCCUGACGCUGAGGAGCGAAAGCGUGGGGAGCGAACAGGCUUAGAUACCCUGGUAGUCCACGCUGUAAACGGUGGGUACUAGGUGUGGGGUCCAUUCCACGGGUUCCGUGCCGUAGCUAACGCUUUAAGUACCCCGCCUGGGGAGUACGGCCGCAAGGCUAAAACUCAAAGGAAUUGACGGGGCCCCGCACAAGCGGCGGAGCAUGCGGAUUAAUUCGAUGCAACGCGUAGAACCUUACCUGGGUUUGACAUGGAUCGGGAGUGCUCAGAGAUGGGUGUGCCUCUUUUGGGGUCGGUUCACAGGUGGUGCAUGGCUGUCGUCAGCUCGUGUCGUGAGAUGUUGGGUUAAGUCCCGCAACGAGCGCAACCCUUGUUCACUGUUGCCAGCACGUUAUGGUGGGGACUCAGUGGAGACCGCCGGGGUCAACUCGGAGGAAGGUGGGGAUGACGUCAAGUCAUCAUGCCCCUUAUGUCCAGGGCUUCACGCAUGCUACAAUGGCUGGUACAGAGAGUGGCGAGCCUGUGAGGGUGAGCGAAUCUCGGAAAGCCGGUCUCAGUUCGGAUUGGGGUCUGCAACUCGACCUCAUGAAGUCGGAGUCGCUAGUAAUCGCAGAUCAGCAACGCUGCGGUGAAUACGUUCCCGGG